AGACCCGAAACCCGGUGAUCUAGCCAUGGGCAGGUUGAAGGUUGGGUAACACUAACUGGAGGACCGAACCGACUAAUGUUGAAAAAUUAGCGGAUGACCUGUGGCUGGGGGUGAAAGGCCAAUCAAACCGGGAGAUAGCUGGUUCUCCCCGAAAGCUAUUUAGGUAGCGCCUCGUGAAUUCAUCUCCGGGGGUAGAGCACUGUUUCGGCUAGGGGGCCAUCCCGGCUUACCAACCCGAUGCAAACUGCGAAUACCGGAGAAUGUUAUCACGGGAGACACACGGCGGGUGCUAACGUCCGUCGUGAAGAGGGAAACAACCCAGACCGCCAGCUAAGGUCCCAAAGUCAUGGUUAAGUGGGAAACGAUGUGGGAAGGCCCAGACAGCCAGGAUGUUGGCUUAGAAGCAGCCAUCAUUUAAAGAAAGCGUAAUAGCUCACUGGUCGAGUCGGCCUGCGCGGAAGAUGUAACGGGGCUAAACCAUGCACCGAAGCUGCGGCAGCGAACGUAUCACCCAAGACAACUUUACGGAGUUGACGAUUGACGGAGCGAAGCGACGUCAAAGCGUUCAUUAAAGUCGAGUUGGCUUAGGGAUACGUUCGUUGGGUAGGGGAGCGUUCUGUAAGCCUGUGAAGGUGUGUCGUGAGGCAUGCUGGAGGUAUCAGAAGUGCGAAUGCUGACAUAAGUAACGAUAAAGCGGGUGAAAAGCCCGCUCGCCGGAAGACCAAGGGUUCCUGUCCAACGUUAAUCGGGGCAGGGUGAGUCGACCCCUAAGGCGAGGCCGAAAGGCGUAGUCGAUGGGAAACGGGUUAAUAUUCCCGUACUUGGUGUUACUGCGAAGGGGGGACGGAGAAGGCUAUGUUGGCCGGGCGACGGUUGUCCCGGUUUAAGCGUGUAGGUGUGUGUUCCAGGUAAAUCCGGUUCACUUUAACACUGAGGCGUGACGACGAGGCACUACGGUGCUGAAGCAACAAAUGCCCUGCUUCCAGGAAAAGCCUCUAAGCAUCAGGUAACACGAAAUCGUACCCCAAACCGACACAGGUGGUCAGGUAGAGAAUACCAAGGCGCUUGAGAGAACUCGGGUGAAGGAACUAGGCAAAAUGGUGCCGUAACUUCGGGAGAAGGCACGCUGACACGUAGGU
rnacentral:rRNA from 1 species